CCAAGGAGUUUAGCGCGUACGCAAGUCAUUGGGUGAAAAACCUAAAGGCAAAAUGAAAGUAAAGAAAAUUUAUUUUUUUAAGGGAGGAUGAAUUAACUUGCUUUUUACAAAAGGCGGUAUUCCGCACUCCUGGGGCGUCCAAUUCUCUUUGAGUAAGGGCGCACCUAUAGCGUACGCGCUGAUACCCGAAAGAUGGUGAACUAUGCCUGGCCAGGACGAAGCCAGGGGAAACCCUGGUGGAGGUCCGCAGCGAUUCUGACGUGCAAAUCGAUCGUCGGAGCUGGGUAUAGGGGCGAAAGACCAAUCGAACCAUCUAGUAGCUGGUUCCCUCUGAAGUUUCCCUCAGGAUAGCUUGCACUCGGUUGAGAUGAGUCUCAUCCGGUAGAGCGAAUGAUUAGAGGCCUUGGGGUCGAAACGACCUCAACCUAUUCUCAAACUCCAAAUAGAUGAGAUUCCCGGCUUGCUUGAAAGUGAAGCCGGGUUUCGGAUCAGAGUGCCAAGUGGGCCAAUUUU
rnacentral:rRNA from 1 species